CAGUAAUCUAAACAGUGACAAAAGUAUAUUUGAUCUUUUAAGUAAGCAAGCUUCAGAUUUUAUUCCUAUAUUUGUGUAUAAGAACUUUAAUUGUGUGUGUGUGUGUGUGUGUGUGUGUGUGUGUGUUCUGUGGUACUGGGGAUUAAACCCAGGGCCUUGUGCAUGCAAGGCAAGCACUCUACCAACUGA
rnacentral:sRNA from 1 species